GCAUGGAUUCUAAGCACCAGAAGACUGCUUAUACAGGAUAUAACAUGGAAGACUGACACAUGUUUUUUUAAAGCAAGGUUUGACUCCAAACCAGUCCUAUCAUGCCUAAGCAUGCUAUUUCUCCUGUCAUCCCUCUGUAGGUUGUCAUUGCUCAUGUUCCAGUGGGUUACUUGCCCUAUGCCAGGAACACCAAGGCCGUCAGAGAACUCUACAGUGAGAGACUUGUGAAGAUAAUUUGCAACUACAGGGAGAUCAUCUCAGGGCAUUUCUUUGGCCACACUCACAGAGACAGCAUAAUGUUCUUGCAGGAUCAGCAAGGGGAGCCAGUUAGUUCCCUGUUUGUCACACCGGCUGUUACUCCAAUCAAAAAGGCAGAAGAGCUGUACUCCAACAAUAGAGCCUUCCACAUGUAGCAUUAUGACCCAUAGGACUACGGGCUGCUGGAUAUUUGGCAGUACUACUUGAAUCUCAUCGAAGCAAACCAAGAAAAAAGAUCUGACUGGAAACUUGAAUACGUAAUCACUGAACCACUUGGAUGAAAGGAUAUUCAACCACACAGCUUGUUUCAACUUGCCCUGAGUUUUGAGUUGGGGCAAAGUGAAACGUUUCAGAAGUAUUUUUGCCAUUUUAUGGUGAGCUAUGAUGAUACCAUUGUGUGUGAUGGGGCCUGCAAGCUGACUCAGGUCUUUGCGGUGCAGUCCUUGGACUAUACCUCCUAUAUCAAAGAUAUUGAAAAGGGACACUAAAACAGGGAUAUUUAUAUUGUGAACUACUGUAAUGUAAAAACUCAAGGAUUUUAUUAAUGCUGUACAGAUAUUCCAUAUUUUUUUACCAUUAUUUAACUAGGCAAGUCAGUUAAGAACAAAUUCUUAUUUUCAAUGACAGCCUUGGGUCAGUGGGUUAACUGCCUGUCCAGGGGAAGAACAACAGAUUUGUACCUUGUCAGCUCAGGGGUUUGAACUUGCACUCUUCCAGUUACUAGUCCAACAGCUCUAACCACUAGGCUCCCCUGCCGCCCCAAUAUGUUUUCACAUGACCAUGAAAUAUAAAUGUAUAAUGUAAUACUUUCAAUUUAAUGGUGACAAUUUAAGCAUCUCUGAGGUCGAAAUAAGGACACGAUACCAGAUGAGAAUGUUGAUGAUUAUAUAAUCACAAAAGGCCAAAUAUUGUGUCCAACUUUUUUUGGACAUGUUGAAAUCAAAGAGAAAUCGAUCGCUAACUGCUAAGUACACUGUAUGGUUAUUGCUUUUAAAAUGUCUGGCAGUUAUUGAAUAAACUGUAAACUGUGAAUUGCUUUGCUUGCAGUAUAAAGCAAAUGGCCUCUAAGUGGUACUGUUGCACAAAAGGGGAGGGCAUUCAUGAGAAAAACGUUUUAAAAAAAAUGUUUUCAAUGAACUUGUUUUAUUUCCCAAAAAUUAAAGAUGGCACGACAAUUUUCUCAGCAUUUUGUAAAUUGGGAUAUUUUUUUCUCUGAGACACCAUCAGUUUCUCAUGUGCAGAGAUCAAACUCUCUGGAUCAAAGUGGCCCUAGUUUGGAGAUUGUUUUCCCAGCUGUCAUGCUACAGUUAUCCUCUUCACCUGCUCCCCAGUCCCCUCUAUAGCUGUACUGUGAGAGAGGUUAACUCAUGACCUCGCUGGAGAAAAUGAAAAGCUAGCAAAUGCCACACUAGACCAAACUGCUCUGCAGGGGAGGGGGGAUCAGACAGCCCCAACCCUAUUCAACCCUCUCCUCCUCUCCCCUUGUUCCCCACUUCUCUCCCCCUCUCCCCACAGUCCAGAAGGACUAUCUGCCCUUGCCUUUUGGAUUUGGGGACGAAAUCUUUUCACUCAUAUGCCCUCAACUGGGUUUAACAUUAGCAUUCAGGGGCUGAGAGAGUCUGGGAGAGUCACAAUGCCUGGUGGAAGGGACUGUGGAAAUGAGGUUAGUGGUUGGCAUGGUGAUAAAGACGACUCCGGGGUAACUGCAGCAGAACUCUGGCAGGCCUCACUAAUGACUCUGUGAUGCACUAAUAAGCGUGAAUCACUGGACUGCCAGUCAGAUGGGCUGGUUCCCCUCAAAGGACCAGCCACUGAUGGAGCGAGCGAGAGAGAGAUGGGUCAAUAUUUGCCCUGUCGAUGUGACUCUGUUUGAGACUAGAAUGGGUCUCUUGCUCUUCAGUCUUCACUACCCGCAAGCCUCCCUGAGUUGUCCUGGGUUCAGGCCAGGCUUUAAACAACAGUAUAAAUCUAGCAGGAUACUGUGAUCCUCCUGCAGUGGGCAGUAGAAGUGAAUGCCUGGAUUG